CUCUAAGUAUAUGUAGAUUUUUUAUUUGAUCUUUAUUUAACUAGGCAAGUCAGUUAAGAACAAAUUCUGAUUUACAAUGACAGCCUAGGAACAGUGGGUUAACUGCCUUGUUAAGGGGCAGAACGACAGAUUUUUACCUUGUCAGCUCAGGGAUUCAAUCUAGCAGCCUUGCGGUUACUGACCCAACGCUCUAACCACUAGGCUACCUGCCGCCCCGGUGUUAUGGUGUUACAUCAGCUAAUAAUGACUUUACUUUGUUACAAUCAUCAAUUUGUCAGAUAUGUGGUGCUUUGAUGCAGAAAAUGAAAAACAACAAAGUUCUCAUUCAGCACCGUAUUACAGGUGGUCUACAUUAUCCCAGAAAACCACACUCCCAGACAAAUGAUAAGCAGUAUAAUUUCAUGGUAUGAAAAGAGAAACAACAUCCCAGUAAACAAAUGGAAAAGCAAUUUUAAUGUUCACAGUCAUCUCUUCUUCAAUGAGCAUAAAAAACAAUUGAUCGGAAAAUCAAUUGAAAUAUCAUUUUAUCCUAUGAUGACAGUUAAAGCUGAUAUUUUACAUGGUUUAAUUCAUGGAAAUCUGGAUAACACCUUGUUCAAACAGCAAGCCAAUAUUGCAAGUAGCCCGACUUCACAUAAUGUCAGACACACUCUCAUAUCCAGUCUCUACACCCAGAUCUGGUCAUGUUCAAGUUCAUCUGACCUUCAGAUAAGGCUGCUCCUCUUCGUAGGGAAAUGACUGUGUCCAUGAAAAAGCAGAGACACUUUGUUUGACACCUAUUCAUACUACUGAACAAGUUCAUUGGGAAUUGUUAUUUACAUAUGUGUCCUUGAAGUGGUGUAUGAGUAUGAACCACAUCCAAAAGAGGCUGCUUGAAGAAUACUGUAACAGUCACAGUAGACAUGGGGGAAGAGGGGAUACAUAAAGAUGGUUACUGUAACAGUCACAGUAGACAUGGGAGAAGAGGGGAUACAUAAAGAUGGUUACUGUAACAGUCACAGUAGACAUGGGGGAAGAGGGGAUACAUCAAAGAUGGUUACUGUAACAGUCACAGUAGACAUGGGAGAAGUAGACAUCAAAGAUGGUUACUGUAACAGUCACAGUAGACAUGGGGGAAGAGGGGAUACAUCAAAGAUGGUUACUGUAACAGUCACAGUAGACAUGGGAAAAGUAGACAUCAAAGAUGGUUACUGUAACAGUCACAGUAGACAUGGGGGAAGAGGGGAUACACAAAGAUGGUUACUGUAACAGUCACAGUAGACAUGGGAGAAGAGGGGAUACAUCAAAGAUGGUUACUGUAACAGUCACAGUAGACAUGGGGGAAGAGGGGAUAUUUCAAAGAUGGUUACUGUAACAGUCACAGUAGACAUGGGAGAAGAGGGGAUACAUCAAAGAUGGUUACUGUAACAGUCACAGUAGACAUGGGGGAAGAGGGGAUACAUCAAAGAUGGUUACUGUAACAGUCACAGUAGACAUGGGGGAAGAAGGGAUACAUCAAAGAUGGUUACUGUAACAGUCACAGUAGACAUGGGGGAAGAGGGGAUACAUCAAAGAUGGUUACUGUAACAGUCACAGUAGACAUGGGAGAAGAGGGGAUACAUCAAAGAUGGUUACUGUAACAGUCACAGUAGACAUGGGGGAAGAGGGGAUACAUCAAAGAUGGUUACUGUAACAGUCACAGUAGACAUGGGGGAAGAGGCAAUACAUCAAAGAUGGUUACUGUAACAGUCACAGUAGACAUGGGAGAAGAGGGGAUACAUCAAAGAUGGUUACUGUAACAGUCACAGUAGACAUGGAGGAAGAGGCAAUACAUCAAAGAUGGUUACUGUAAUAGUCACAGUAGACAUGGGGGAAGAGGGGAUACAUCAAAGAUGGUUACUGUAACAGUCACAGUAGACAUGGGAGAAGAGGGGAUACAUCAAAGAUGGUUACUGUAACAGUCACAGUAGACAUGGAGGAAGAGGCAAUACAUCAAAGAUGGUUACUGUAACAGUCACAGUAGACAUGGGAGAAGUAGACAUCAAAGAUGGUUACUGUAACAGUCACAGUAGACAUGGGGGAAGAGGAGACACAUCAAAGAUGGUUACUGUAACAGUCACAGUAGACAUGGGAGAAGUAGACAUCAAAGAUGGUUGAUCUACUGUGCCACAGCUAUGGAAAGUCUGACUCAAGCUGUUAAACAGUACAGUCAAACCCAUCCUGUACAAAGUUCUCCAUCUCCACUCUGCACUCUUAGAAAAAAAGAGUUCCAAAAGGGUUCUUCGGCUGUACCCAUAGGAGAACCCUUUGUGGUUCCAUGUAGAACCCUCUGUGGAAAGGGUUCUUCAAAGGGUUCUCCUAUGGGACCAGCCAAAGAACCCUUUUAGGUUCUAGAUAGCACUUUUGUUUUCAAAGAGUGUGAGUGAGUUCGCCGCUGAUCUCUUGGUGAAUGCCAUGAUCUGAGGUCACAUUAAAAGGUUUCCAUUUCAGUAAGUGCACAUGAUAUGUGAGAGACAGAGAGGAUCUUACAAUCAGAAUGAGGAUUGGCAUGUUUUAAAAACAUAAAACUAAAAUAAAUUGUCAUUAAUCAUGAAAAUGCAAUGGAUGAUCAUGAUGAAUAUAAACAAUAUCAACACAAUACUGUACAAACAAUGCAUUUCUGAAAAAAUAUGUCAGCUGUAGCCUACACUUGACAUGAAAACAAUGUUCCUUUUACUCAUCGAUGUUCUACUUCUCAUCUUGUACUAAAUAAAUAAAACAAAAUUGCAUUGUAUUAUAAUGAACAUAAAAAUCACUAACAUAAUAAAAAUCUCCAUUAAAAUACAUACUUCUGGCAAAGAAAUGUCAGCUGUACACUUGACAUGAAAACGGUGUGCCCAUUACUUACCAAGUUUUCUCUUCUCCUUGUGAAUAAUUUAAUUUGAGUGACUCACUUAUUGAGAUGAAAUCUCUACGGGGACUUGAAAACGCAUAAGAUCUCUGACUGGCAGUGUUAUUUGAAAAAGCAGCACAAAACCUUUCAGCUCUGUUAGUUUUUAAUUUGUUCUGCUAUUCCAUUGCUCACCCUACUGUUUCCCCAGUUAUAUUUAUUGCAUUUUUCUAUUUAAUUACUUACUUAACACAGGGAAGGUUCCAAAACUGUGAGCAACUGAGUCAAUAAGUUCAAUGAGAGUAAUGAAUCAUAUAAUUAUUUCCAUUUCUCCUCAUGAUGCUGGACACCAUUUCAGUAGCAGAAGGAAUGUGAUAGUGUAUUGGACUAUUUUCAGUAAUUGUGGAUAUCAAAGGGUAAAAUAUGCUCUGCUAUCUUGUAACAGUGCUCUCUAAUUUCCAUUAAUGAAUAUUUACAUUUUUAUUAGUGAAGGUAUAAAUUAAUUCUCUCUAUGAAUAACAGGUUCUUCAGUCAGAAUGUUAUCCCUCAGUACAGAUUUGCAGCUGUUCUCCCUCACGAUCUGCAGCAGUAUACAGUACUGUAGCAACACCAUGCUCAGUAGCCCAGAUGGAGAGGGGAGUGCUUGUCUGGUCUCCCCGUCUGCACAGGUCACUGUUGGGGGGACUGGGGGUCCGUGCGCGUGAGUGAGGCGGUGGGCGCAGAGGAGAGACCAGCAGUAUGACCUGUCCUGCAACCCGGUGGCCUCAGACAGCCCUGUGGCUGGGAGGGGGGCUCAAAGCCCAUGUUGAGGUGCAGCGCCCCACGGGCCUGGCACUAGUCCACUAUGGGCUGUUCAUACCUGUACAACGUCAGGGCACUCAACUGCUGUGGUACCUGAGAGAACAAAGGAAAAGGAUAGGGGGAUGGAAAGAGAGAGUAAGAUAGAGAGGUAUAAAAAAAGUUUUUAUGUUUUUUUAUGUUCAACUUUUUAUGUUAGGGUGCAAAGUGAAAUAGGCUAGUGUACAGAUAAAUUGCAUGC
ensembl:lncRNA